CCAAAAUAAAACAGACUCAGAGAGCUGCAGUCUCCAGCAGAAACAGGCGAAAAUUCCAUUUCCUGCGGUCGUUUGGGGAGUGACUGCAGUGAAGCCUCUGGAAGGAAAAGCCCCAUUAUGGUUUCAGUGCGGGUUGGAAGGACUUGACUUGAAGGAGCCACACUGCUCACUGCCAGAGUGCCACUGCUCCAGAAAUACAACCAGUAUGACCUCAACUGAUGCACACUUCGUGGACAGUGGAUAAAAGAGCCAGAGCAGAGUGAUGAAGGAAGAGAGAGCGAGGGAGAAAAGACUGAAGGCACAAUGUAUGGCCAAAAAUUGACAGAAAUGCACCAACUCAUUGCAUGAAGGGGGAUGUAAAGAAGUUGCCAUCUCCUCUGAGAAAAAGAACCAACACCGCUCCUGUCAAAUUGUCACUUAUUUAACAGUUUGUUUAUCUGCUCUUUUUGUUAAUUUCACACACAUGACCACUGGCCAACACAUGCACACGAUUUCACAUACGUCCUCACAAAACAGUCAGCAUCAUAAAUAAACAAUUUCUCCACAGAACAUACUGUGGUUUAUUUAUUCAGAGAGUCAAAUUGCACACACAAACACACACAUACAUGUGUGCACAAACACACACCCUCGUCUCAGCUCUCUCGUUUC